CGGAGGGUGCAAGCGUUAUCCGGAUUUACUGGGUUUAAAGGGUGUGUAGGCGGGCUUUUAAGUCAGUGGUGAAAUCUCCGGGCUCAACCUGGAAACUGCCAUUGAUACUAUUAGUCUUGAAUUUUGUUGAGGUGGGCAGAAUAUGUCAUGUAGCGGUGAAAUGCAUAGAUAUGACAUAGAAUACCAAUUGCGAAGGCAGCUCGCUAAACAAAUAUUGACGCUGAGGCACGAAAGCGUGGGGAUCAAACAGGAUUAGAUACCCUGGUAGUCCACGCCCUAAACGAUGAUUACUCGACAUACGCGAUACACAGUGUGUGUCUGAGCGAAAGCAUUAAGUAAUCCACCUGGGAAGUACGAUCGCAAGAUUG
rnacentral:rRNA from 1 species